CAGAACAGACAACACCAGAAUGAUGCUUAAGAUCUGGUGCUGAUCCAUGUUUUUGAAUCCAUUCAUCCAUCAUCCACCAAAACGUGUAUCCACCCAUCUGCCUCUACAAGUAGUACUACCAUCUUCUAUUCAUCAGGUGAUAAUUCUAUUCUAGUAGAAGAGUCUGGUUUCCUGAUUCCUGUAUGAACUUCUGAAAAAAGUCCCGGAU